AGACCAGGCUCAGGAGCAGAAAGCAGAAGAUGGUUUCCAGCCAGCCAAAAAACUGCAGGACUGUCCGGGAGAGACCUCCUCUGCGGCACGGCACGGCACGGCACAGCACAGCACGGCUCCCUUGCGAACAAAGCCGCAGUGUGCGCUGAGCGGCACGUACAGCUGGCAGCCUCCUGCCCUGGGCUGGAGGACACACAUCGCUGUGUGUCUACAAGGAAGGUUUUGUCUGAGCCGAGGGGAGGACGAGUGCUUUCUCGGCUGGAGCCUCAGAGAUAUGCAUGGCUAAGGGACAGGAAUUUCUGCCCCCAGGCUUCAGCUAGCAGCCAGGCUCCCUGCAUACCGCACUGUAAUUCACCCACCGAAGUUUUUGCGUUGUAAAGUAAAAUAAGACAGCAGGCACGCCAUGUACUGAGCAACACGAGACGGUGCUCUGAGGUCCUUCUCCUCCCCUCCCUGCUGGCUGCGAGCGCAUGGCCUUUAUCAGCACCACGGCUGGGUGAUUCCCACAGCUUGGCAAAAACACCUGCCGUUCGCUCUCGGUGGAUGGCGGAGGGCUGGAAACCCUGCAGUGCCAUGGCUGUGACACCCCCUGCCCCAUGCCACCACCCUCAUGGGGGUGCCGGGUCCCCGCCGUGCCAUCCACCGCACGAGAUGCCCAGGGCCAGGGGCAGGGGCUCUGGGCACCGUGGGGCAGGAGGCGGAGGCACGCUGCCCGCUGGCUGAUCCCUCAGCCUGGAGGAGAGCCAGGACCUCCUCUCCGGGGCCUUGCAGAGCGCUCCCUUCCCAGCACGGGCGGCCUUUUCUUAACCCGGCGGCCCCAGGAGGCAGCUGUCCCCGUGGCAGGGCAGCAGGGGGGCACGAGGAGGGCACCCCCCCAGCACGUGGCCCCGGGUCCCUGCUGGGGAGAGGCAUCCGUCUGCAGCCGAUGGCUGGGAGACAGCCGUCAGCGCACCUGUGGCGAUCGGCUUUCAUAUAUUUUAAAUUUCACUCACACGAUCUAUUUGUGCGUUUCCCUGCCGGCUGCGGGCCGAGGCAGGGGCACGGGGAGCAGGGCCGUCUGGGGAGGCUUUGCAGGGAGGCCGAUGAUCCAAUUAAGGCAACAAAGAGCCGCUGCGCCGCGAUCUGAGGGGUUCAGGAGCUGGGAGCAAGCAGGGAACGGCGGCAGAAGGCGAAGCCAAGCAGACAUAUGGAACAAGUUACGGCGGAGACGGCGGAGGCAAAGUGCGUAAAUGAGUUCAAGAGAUGCCUGGGCUUUUCUCGGGAGAAGGGAAGGACUCGAGGGGUCUGCUUGGAAAAGCAGGAAGGAGGGAUUAAGAUAAAGCCCAGAGAUGGAGGCCUGCUGUGCUGACUGGCCUCUGCUUGUUCCCGGCUUUAUUUAUUUAUAUUUUUUUUUCAUUUGACUGUAAGAGAUAUUAAUGUAAUUAAAGGAUGGGGGAACUACUGGAGAGCUGCAGUAAGUUGAGGGAGAGCAGAAGGGAGUAGGAGUGGGAGCUACCUAGCAACCAACGUGCGGAAGCCAAUAAAAUGCACAGAUAGGCAAAAUUCAGGGAAAAAAAAAAAAAAAAAAAAGCCCAGGAUAAUGAAAGAAGAGCUCAAGCAUCUCAUCCCCAAAGUGAGCCAGGGGAUGCGACGCCAGCCCCCAGCUGCUGGGACAGAUUCCCACCUGCCCCUGUCCGUCUGUCCCUGCUCCUUAUGCAAAGACCUGGCCACCCUCGAGCCACAGGCACCCCUCCAGUCACACUGGGUUUCGGGGCAGAGAAAGCUCAGGCAAGGCCUGGAAGCCCAACAGCACCUUCCUAUACGUAUCUGUGACAUUGCUGCUGCUCUGUAACCCCCUGGGACAGCAGCUUCCCUGGCUGGGAGCAGCUCCCAAACCCCUCCGUGGUGCGGGUGGGCUGCACCCCUUGCCCAAGGAGGACAGGUCCACAAGAGGUCCCUGCCAUGCUUUGACCUGCGUAGGAGCCUUUUGUGCAGCUUGUUUGUAGAUAAAGCUGUGCGAUUUCUUAUUUCUGGAACUGUGACAUAAUUUCCUUCUCAAGGACUCCGGUGUUACAGCAAAUGGCACGGGGAGAGAGCUUGUCCACUGCCGGCGCUUUCUGAAAAGGCAACAGCCCUGCUCCAGCAGGCAGACAUGCAAUUUCCACUUUGAGACUUGCCCCCACAGUGUUAUGGGAUGCAAAACUCAUUUCGGCUUCAAAUGGUGGAAGGAACAUGGAGAAUUUUCCCAAAAGUUUGAGCAAAAUCGGACACAUUGCCUUUUAAAUUACCAGGCUUUAAAAAACAACCUAUGCAGGUUUGAAAUUUGCCCUCUGCAUCCUUUCUUUAAGGGAUGACUUUUCUUACUAAACCGCGGCUGAUACAUAACCACGCUUCCCACGUAGGCAAAAAGUGUUGACAAGACAUUUCUGAGGAAAUAUGGCAUCAUUAAGGACUAUAUGACAUAAUUAAGGGAAGGAGGGUGAAAGAAGCUUUUGCCCUCUCGUGGCUGGUCACAGUUAAUGUCACCAGUGGUGUCACACACGUCACCUUGCCAUGCACUUUCUCCCAGGCCCUGGGCAGACGAAGCCAUGGGACUGAGCUCUGCUGAGCGCUUCAGGGCUGGACCUGAGCCUUGUAUUUCUUUGCACCCCACUCUUGCACGAUGCUCGGUGCUAACGCCUGUAGCUUCUGCUGUGGCUUCCCCGGGUACACACGGACAGCUAGGAGUAAGCACAUUCAUGCUUUGCAGGAUCAGGGGCUUGUUUUGCAGUAAUGGAUUUGUUGCAGAAUUAUAGCUAACUAGCUGUGUCUUCUGGAAAAAAAAAUAUAA